CCCGGUGAAGGCGAUGGAGCUCGCCGACAACCGCACCCGCUGCUGAUGGCUCCUACCGAUCC
rnacentral:ncRNA from 2 species